ACUUGAGGCAGAGGUCCAAGUAAACCCCUAGCUUGUGUACCCAUGGAGCCACAGCAGCAGAAAUGAGGAAAGCCGGAAGAUCAGAAGAGCACAAGU